rnacentral:lncRNA from 1 species
UCUGUCUCUUUCUCUCUCAGUUCGCGUUCAUUUGAGAGAGAGAAAAAUGCACAAGGCCACAAGCACGCGAAGACAAACUCGGAGAGUCGGAAGUGACGAGUCUAGCAAAUCGCGACCUCCUCGCCGCCGCGGGGACCGGCGUAUUAUGUGCAGAGUCCGUCACGGGACUCGCACGACGACGAGAAGACAGUGACGAUGGCGUCAUUCCACUCAAUGUCGGUGCUGAGCCAGGCGAGAUUGCAGCCGCACUCUCACUACUACUCCACCGUCGGCCGCCACUCCCGCGAGUC